rnacentral:rRNA from 1 species
CUUUUCUAGAGAUAGGAAGUUACUUCGGUACAUCGGUGACAGGUGGUGCAUGGUUGUCGUCAGCUCGUGUCGUGAGAUGUUGGGUUAAGUCCCGCAACGAGCGCAACCCCUAUUGUUAGUUGCCAUCAUUCAGUUGGGCACUCUAGCGAGACUGCCGGUAAUAAACCGGAGGAAGGUGGGGAUGACGUCAAAUCAUCAUGCCCCUUAUGACCUGGGCUACACACGUGCUACAAUGGUUGGUACAACGAGUUGCGAGUCGGUGACGGCGAGCUAAUCUCUUAAAGCCAAUCUCAGUUCGGAUUGUAGGCUGCAACUCGCCUACAUGAAGUCGGAAUCGCUAGUAAUCGCGGAUCAGCACGCCGCGGUGAAUACGUUCCCGGGUCUUGUACACACCGA